CUUUUGGCUUCAGUGGCUCCAUCUCAAAAGUGGAUGAGAUACUCCAUUUGGAUAUCAGGCUCUCUCCUCAGGAAAGGCAAACCAGGUUCCCCACUUGACCUAGUUAGCCUUACCUGUCAACUCAACAGAGCCUGGAGUCACAUCAGAAAGGAAUUUCAGUUGAUUGCCUGAGUCGAAAUUUUCCUGUGUGCAUGUCUUUGGGGGAUUGUCUUGAUUGCCGACUGUGGGCAAGACCAUCCCUAGGGGUAAACUCGCCAGGGCAAUGCUGGAGAGCUCACCCUGGUGGUGAAGACAGGGAAGAGCUGGCAGGCUGACCAACCAUGCAACUACUCAGGCCCAGAACCAGAGCUUAUCCCUCCUCCUCGGGGUCUCACUGUGUACCCUUGUCUGGCCUGGAACUCACAGAGGUCCUGUCUCUCAAGUGCUGGGACUGAAGGCAUGCACUACCACACCCAUCCCAUGAUCAGAGAAUUUGAUCACCGCAUAAAGGACACUAUAACAAAACUGCAUGUGUACACUCAGCUCUGGCACAUCUUCUCUUUUCCAUUUUCUAG
rnacentral:lncRNA from 1 species